GACGAACGCUGGCGGCGUGGAUUAGGCAUGCAAGUCGAACGGUAGGAACCUUUCGGGGUUCUGAGAGUGGCGAACGGGUGAGUAACACGUAGGUGAUCUACCCUCAAAUCGGGGACAACCCAGGGAAACUUGGGCUAAUACCGGAUGAGUGCAUCAGAGAUGGUGUAUAAAAGGUGGCGUAAGCUGCCGUUUGGGGAUGAGCCUGCGCCCUAUUAGUUAGUUGGUGAGGUAAUGGCUCACCAAGGCGAUGAUAGGUAGGCGGCCUUAACGGGUGGUCGCCCACACUGGGAUUGAGAUACGGCCCAGACUCCUACGGGAGGCAGCAGUCGAGAAUAGUCUACAAUGGACGAAAGUCUGAUAGUGCGACGCCGCGUGAACGAAGAAGCCCUUCGGGGUGUAAAGUUCUUUUAUAUGUGAGCAAUGCUUCUUAGGUGAAUAGUCUGAGGAGAGAGAUAUUAGCAUAUGAAUAAGCAACGGCUAAACUCCGUGCCAGCAGACCC
rnacentral:rRNA from 1 species